rnacentral:misc_RNA from 1 species
UGAGUUGAGUUGAGUUGAGUUUAGACUAGAGGAAUUAGUUAUGAUCAAAAAGGGAUAGAGACGUGUUCUUAGAUAAGAGGAACUGAAAAAUGUUUGCUUCGGGGACAGUACUUAUUUGGCCUCAAAGCACAAGCAAAAUUAUGAGAUAUAUGUGAAUGUUAUUGCUCAAAGACAUCAUUGCUAGAAGUACUGUCUAAAUUUGUUCUGUGGUUCUUACUUGAUUGAUAACGGCACUUAUCUUUACAGUUUCGAGUAUCAUGC